rnacentral:rRNA from 1 species
AUUAAACGCUGGCGGCAUGCCUUACACAUGCAAGUCGAACGGCAGCACGGGGGCAACCCUGGUGGCGAGUGGCGGACGGGUGAGUAAAGCAUCGGAACGUAUCCUGGAGUGGGGGAUAACGUAGCGAAAGUUACGCUAAUACCGCAUAUUCUGUGAGCAGGAAAGCAGGGGACCGCAAGGCCUUGCGCUCUUUGAGCGGCCGAUGUCAGAUUAGCUAGUUGGUGAGGUAAAGGCUUACCAAGGCGACGAUCUGUAGCGGGUCUGAGAGGAUGAUCCGCCACACUGGAACUGAGACACGGUCCAGACUCCUACGGGAGGCAGCAGUGGGGAAUUUUGGACAAUGGGCGCAAGCCUGAUCCAGCCAUGCCGCGUGAGUGAAGAAGGCCU